UUGUACAUUUACUUUUUGGUGUUGUAAAUUCAUCCCACAAAAUCGCAGGAGAGAGUGUGAGACAAAAACGUCAAUGGAAACCCUAACUAUCUCCCACCGCCCUCUUCUCCGUCUUCCCGUCGCUCCUACGUCCGCUCCGGCGCCUCCUUCACUCUCCUCAACAACGCAUCCACCUGGCCAUCGAUCAGUUGCCGAAUAUCUCACCGAUAAAAGUGCCGAUUGACGUUCAAAUCGGCGCUAGAUUCAGCUUCAAUCGAUCAGUAUUUCGGACUCACGGAGUCAGACGCACGCAAUCCGACUUUAUUGAUUUCGUUUAGGGUUCGAUGCGUCAAAAACCUAAUCAGACGGUGUUAGAAGACGACAGGGUUCCGAUUUGAAGCUCUUAUGGCACCCUUGACAUCUGGCCGUGUGACCAUUGUAGCAAGUUCAAUGAUCACGACAAAGGUACUCUCUAUAAGACGAGUCUUCUAUAUGAAACCAAACGAGCCCGAGGUUCUUUUGCAUGAUUAUCCAAGCCAUAAAAGGCGGCAAUUACCUCUUGUAGCAAAGACGUGCAGGGCUAGUCCUAGACCAAUUAUUUUCGCAUGUGGUUUGACGGUGGUGUUCUCCUUUCUCUUAUUUGUCUUCUAAAUUCCUCAUUGUCAAUUCUUUACUCAAGUUUCUAAGGUUCGUCCACCUCGAUUUUAGUAUUAAUUUGUUUGUGUUUUUAAUAACUUCUUUUUGAUGCUUUGUAUAGUUCGAUGGCUUGCAUAAGUGACCGCAAAUCCGUAGCAGUUUCGGUCAAUAAGAUCAUAAUGAUUUGAUAAUUUACAGCUCUUGAAUGCUUAAUUUAUGUAUAAGAAUUAAGAAUGGAGCGGGUUGUCUUUAGUUUGGUGGGCUUUGGUUUCCAACUGGAGGAGAAAAGAAAACUUAGAGGAAUUGUUGCCCGCUUUGUUGACUAUGCACUCCAACGAGGUUGCAAAAACGAGCCGGCUAGAACAAAAGAUCCAAAAAAUGGAACGCUCCUUAUGCUAUAAAUGUAAUUUUUGUUUUCGUAUGUAAAUGUAGGUAUGUAAAUGUAGAUUUGGCUUUUUGUCUUGCAACUUUUUGUUUUGCAAUAGGAGAAUACAAUGAGACAUCAAUUGGUGUUUACCAAUUAGGAAUACAAGCAUGAGACAUCAAUAAAUUGAUAUUAA